rnacentral:tmRNA from 2 species
GGGGGUGACUUGGAUUCGACGGGGAUGAGGAAGCUCAGAACUGCGUAUCGUGGUCUCCGUGUCCACGUAAAAGAAGCGGUAAAAAAUCAAGUGCCAACUACAACUACGCACUGGCUGCUUAAUUAAUUAAGCAUCCCGUUCCUUCCGGUUCUCGCCCAUUGGGGCUGGCUGGAACGUCGACUUAGAUGGGAUAGGGCGACCCUGAUUCGAAGGGGGCCGGCCGAAAUCCUGCCAAAAGCGGGAUCUACUUCGGAUAGUACGUGGCCAAUCCUGCCAGUCCCGCGAUGCGGGAUCCCGUGCAAGCGGGACCGGAGUUUCCACGUGCGAAUCUUAAAAGGCCGGCUAUGUACGUAGACGUUUUGAGAAUCUUCUCUUCGGACCGGGGUUCGACUCCCCGCACCUCCACUA